GGUCGCUUUGGCCGCACAUAUACUAAGACUGGAAUGAUAUAAAGAAGAGUAGCAUGGCCCUUGUGUAAGAAUGCCAUGCCAGUUUGGGAAGCAUUCCAGACUAAG
rfam:Erinaceus europaeus unplaced genomic scaffold scaffold00074, whole genome shotgun sequence